GGAUUGUAGCUUAGUGGUAGAGCUCUCGCUUGCACAUGUGAGGCACUGGGUUCGAUCCUCAGCACCA
rnacentral:tRNA from 1 species